UACGGGUUGUGAGAGCAAGAGCCCGGAGAUGGAUUCUGAGACACGAAUCCAGGCCCUACGGGGCGCAGCAGGCGCGAAAACUUUACAAUGCGAGAAAUCGUGAUAAGGGAACCCCGAGUGCCCGUAAAUUCGGGCUGUCCGCCAGUGCAAAAAACUGGUGAAGAAAGAGCCGGGCAAGACCGGUGCCAGCCGCCGCGGUAAUACCGGCGGCUCGAGUGGUGGCCACUAUUACUGGGCUUAAAGCGUCCGUAGCUUGGUUGUUAAGUCUCCUGGGAAAUCCAUCGGCUCAACCGAUGGGCGUUCAGGAGAUACUGGCAACCUAGGGACCGGGAGAGGUGAGAGGUACUCCAGGGGUAGGAGUGAAAUCCUGUAAUCCUUGGGGGACCACCUGUGGCGAAGGCGUCUCACUAGAACGGCUCCGACAGUGAGGGACGAAAGCUGGGGGAGCAAACCGGAUUAGAUACCCGGGUAGUCCCAGCUGUAAACGAUGCGCGUUAGGUGUAUCGGUGACCACGAGUCACCGAGGUGCCGAAGGGAAACCGUGAAACGUGCCGCCUGGGAAGUACGGUCGCAAGGCUGAAACUUAAAGGAAUUGGCGGGGGAGAAGGGCGA
rnacentral:rRNA from 1 species